rnacentral:rRNA from 1 species
CAGCAGCCGCGGUAAUACGUAGGGGGCGAGCGUUGUCCGGAUUUACUGGGCGUAAAGGGUGAGUAGGCGGUUAUAUAUGUCAGGUGUAAAAGAUCAUGGCUCAACCAUGGUUGGCACUUGAAACUGUAUGACUUGAGUGCAGGAGAGGUAAGCGGAAUUCCUAGUGUAGCGGUGAAAUGCGUAGAUAUUAGGAGGAACACCAGUGGCGAAGGCGGCUUACUGGACUGUAACUGACGCUGAGACACGAAAGCGUGGGUAGCAAACAGGAUUAGAUACCCUGGUAGUCCACGCUGUAAACGAUGAGUGCUAGGUGUUGGGUAGCGAUAUUCAGUGCCGGAGUAAACACAAUAAGCACUCCGCCUGGGGAGUACGUACGCAAGUAUGAAACUCAAAGGAAUUGACGGGGACCCGCACAAGCAGCGGAGCAUGUGGUUUAAUUCGAAGCAACGCGAAGAACCUUACCAAGGCUUGACAUCCCCUUGACCAGUGCAGAGAUGUACUCUCUUCUUCGGAAGCAAGGGAGACAGGAGGUGCAUGGCC